GACGUAGGGCGUGAGCGUUGUCCGGAUUUAUUGGGCGUAAAGAGCUCGUAGGCGGCUCGUUGCGUCGGCUGUGAAAACCCGCAGCUCAACUGUGGGCUUGCAGCCGAUACGGGCGGGCUGGGAUUCGGUAGGGGAGACUGGAAUUCCUGGUGUAGCGGUGAAAUGCGCAGAUAUCAGGAGGAACACCGGUGGCGAAGGCGGGUCUCUGGGCCGAUAUCGACGCUGAGGAGCGAAAGCGUGGGGAGCGAACAGG
rnacentral:rRNA from 1 species